CCAGCAGCUGCGGUAAUUCCAGCUCCAAUAGCGUGUACUAACGUUGUUGCAGUUAAAAAGCUCGUAGUUGAAUUUCUGGUAGGAGUGACCCGUUCUUUGUCGCAAGACGCUGUAAUGUGUGUUAUCUCUGGCCAUCCUGGUUUAUUUUCAAUAAGCCUCAUUCACUGUAAAUAAAGUUGGUCGCUUCAAGAAGAAGUUUCUUCAGAAAAUGUUAGUAUGGGAUGAUAAGAUAGGCUCUAGGCACUAUUUUGUUGGUUUGCAUGCCUUGAGAAUGAUUAAUAGGGACAGUUGGGGGUAUUCGCAUCAGCAUGUCAGAGGUGAAAUUCUUGGAUUUUGAUGAGGCGAACAACUGCGAUGGCAUUUACCAAGGAUGUUUUCAUUAAUCAAGAACGAAAGG
rnacentral:rRNA from 1 species